rnacentral:rRNA from 1 species
UACGUAGGGUGCAAGCGUUGUCCGGAAUUUAUUGGGCGUAAAGAGCUCGUAGGCGGUUUGUCGCGUCGGCUGUGAAAACCUAGGGCUCAACUCUGGGCUUGCAGCCGAUACGGGCAAACUAGAAUUCGGUAGGGGAGACUGGAAUUCCUGGUGUAGCGGUGAAAUGCGCAGAUAUCAGGAGGAACACCGGUGGCGAAGGCGGGUCUCUGGGCCGAUAUUGACGCUGAGGAGCGAAAGCGUGGGGAGCGAACAGG